rnacentral:rRNA from 5 species
CCUGGGGAGUACGGCCGCAAGGUUAAAACUCAAAUGAAUUGACGGGGGCCCGCACAAGCGGUGGAGCAUGUGGUUUAAUUCGAUGCAACGCGAAGAACCUUACCUGGUCUUGACAUCCACAGAACUUAGCAGAGAUGCUUUGGUGCCUUCGGGAACUGUGAGACAGGUGCUGCAUGGCUGUCGUCAGCUCGUGUUGUGAAAUGUUGGGUUAAGUCCCGCAACGAGCGCAACCCUUAUCCUUUGUUGCCAGCGGU